rnacentral:rRNA from 1 species
GACGAACGCUGGCGGCGUGCCUAACACAUGCAAGUCGAGCGAGUGGAGUUCUUCGGAACAAAGCUAGCGGCGGACGGGUGAGUAACACGUGGGCAACCUGCCUCAUAGAGGGGAAAAGCGUUGCGAAAGGGAGAUUAAUACCGCAUAAGACUGUAGCUUCGUAUGAAGUAGCACUUAACGGAGCAAUCCGCUAUGAGAUGGGCCCGCGGCGCAUUAGCUAGGUGGUGAGGUAACGGCUCACCAAGGCGACGAUGCGUAGCCGACCUGAGAGGGUGAUCGGCCACAUUGGGACUGAGACACGGCCCAGACUCCUACGGGAGGCAGCAGUGGGGAAUAUUGCACAAUGGGGGAAACCCUGAUGCAGCAACGCCGCGUGAGUGAUGACGGCCUUCGGGUUGUAAAGCUCUGUCUUCAGGGACGAUAAUGACGGUACCUGAGGAGGAAGCCACGGCUAACUACGUGCCAGCAGCCGCAGUAACAC